rnacentral:rRNA from 1 species
UGGGGAAUAUUGCACAAUGGGGGAAACCCUGAUGCAGCGACGCCGCGUGAAGGAAGAAGUAUCUCGGUAUGUAAACUUCUAUCAGCAGGGAAGAAAGUGACGGUACCUGACUAAGAAGCCCCGGCUAACUACGUGCCAGCAGCCGCGGUAAUACGUAGGGGGCAAGCGUUAUCCGGAUUUACUGGGUGUAAAGGGAGCGUAGACGGAAUGGCAAGUCUGAUGUGAAAGGCGGGGGCUCAACCCCUGGACUGCAUUGGAAACUGCCAGUCUUGAGUACCGGAGGGGUAAGCGGAAUUCCUAGUGUAGCGGUGAAAUGCGUAGAUAUUAGGAGGAACACCAGUGGCGAAGGCGGCUUACUGGACGGUAACUGACGUUGAGGCUCAAAAGCGUGGGGAGCAAACA